CCCUUAGCCUUCCAAGCUAACGAUGCGGGUUC
rnacentral:tRNA from 2 species